GGCAACCGCGGGACUCCUGGAGAAAUGGUGGGCGGUCCAAACGGUGAGCAGCACGCUCCUUACUUAGGUCAUGACCUCUGCCGACUAAAAAGGCUAAACUCAGCGUGGAUUAGGGCUAUACCAGGAACAACUGACUUUCCUCUAGAGGAUUUGAACUGGAGGAGGCUUGAAGUUGAACAAUGGAACUCUCAGUACCAACUUCCCUUUACAGUCUGAUCUCAGAAAUCUGACAGCCAGUUGUAUUCCCCCAGACCCUCUACCUUCACCUGUAAGUCUAAGUGGCAGGAAUUUCGCAACUCCAAAAAGUGAUGCCGAAAAAUAUUGGAGCAAUGUCUUCAAAAUUGUAAGAGUAUACACCCAACUAAACUGUUGACAAGUAGCAUAAAGGGUAGAAUAAAGAUUUUUCCCUGGCCAGGUGUGGUAGCUCACACCUGUGAUCCCAGAACUUUGGGAGACCAAGGCUGGAAGAUUGCUUGAGCCGAGGAGUUUGGGACCAGCCUGGGCAACAUAGGAAGAUUCUGUCUCCACAAAAUUUUAAAAAAUUAGCUGAGCGUGGUGGCAUGCGCCUGUGGUCCCAGCUACUCAUAGGGUGAGGCGUGAGGAUCGCUUUAAUCCGGGAAGUCAAAGUUGCAGUGAGCCAGGAUGGUGCCACUGCACUCCAGCCUGGGUGACAGAGUAAGACCUUGUCUAAAAAAAAAAAAAAACGUAUUUAUCAACUAUGGAAGUCCUCAAAACAUUUGCCUUCUUAGGAAGCAAGUAGAAGAUAUACUUUAACCAAAAUAAGGGGAUAAACCAAGAAUCAUAAGGACACUGAAUUCAGGAAACAGGGAUUAGAACACGGGAGACCUGCAAAAGGAUAUUCAGGAUGCAACUACACAAUCAGGCCUAGAACGCAGCUGACAGAGAUCGAUCGGGACACGGGGGCUCAGGAUGGAGGACUGUAGGUUAAAAAAAAAAUGGAACUCAUGUAUCUUCUGAGUUUUUGAAUCUUAUGUGCAUUCAGAAACCUACAAAGAGUCUGUGAGUAGUCCUCCGACCUUCCAUUUCUUUUUACUUUCGUUGGCCCUGUGUAAAACAAAUGUCAUUAUACUUAUCUUUUUCUCUGUUUAUGUUUUCAUUUUUCAUAUGAGAAAUAUAAUUUUCUUUUAGGAAUUAUAUAAUUAAAAAAUUACAAGCGAUUGAA
ensembl:lncRNA CFAP20DC-DT CFAP20DC divergent transcript